AUGUGUGUGUGCGCGCGCGCGCGUGUGUGUGUAUAUAUAUAUAUAUAUAAUAUAUAUAUACGCACACGCACACACACAUACAUACACCAGUUAGGGCUUGGCCGUAACUCCCAACCGGGACAGCAGCCGCAACACCCGGCCUCGCUGCAUUCAAAGCAUGCAACAGGCCUCGCUUACACUUCAUGCAGGUUAAGCGUCACACGCCUUCCUUUUUUUUUUUCUUUUAUUUCCUCCCCCCCCCGACCCGUCUUCUUUUUCUUUUUUUCUUUCCCUUUCUUUUUUUUCUUCUCGCUUUUAAGUGUGGCCACUCGGCGGCCAAGGUCGCCGCUGCCCCUGCAGCACAGCCCGAGCAGGGAAUUUGGCGACGGUCCCUCAACGCACAGCACGCUCGGCUGCCCUGCCCUGCCCCCCUCCGCUCUCCGCCCCGCAGCAGCCUCUCUCCUCCUGUCUGCAAAGGUGCAGCACCUCCAAAAAAGAGGUGAAAUAUGGUCAUUCUGUAGCACAGAAGAUAAUCUUCCAGUACACAAUUCCAGUGAAAGUCAUCCUGCCCCACAGCCAUGCAAAUGUUCUGACAUACAAAUGUUCAUUGCCGCCUAUUACAUUCCUCUGCUGACAGUGAAGAGGUCAUGCUAA
rnacentral:lncRNA from 1 species